GGUUUAGUUUUUUCCUAUAUAUAUGGCUGCUAUGUAGUGGACGAAAAUUGAACAUUAUUAUUUAUCAAAACUGUGAGUUUUAUUCUCUCUUGAGAGUUUUCGAAUUUCUCUUGAAAUUCCAAGACGAAUUCAUCUAUCAGCGUAACGACGAGUCAACCAACCCUCGUCGAGUGUCAUUCAUCGUCUCUGAGUUGCUGUGUCAACAUCAUGUUGGGGUAUAGAGAUUUCAUUGCCUAUAUCAUUCUGUGGGUUAGUUUAAGAGGUUUUGGAAUUUCCAUUAUCUGUUCUAUCUAUCUGCUCUAUAUCAUUCCGCCAUCUACACUUGUUGGGAUCAUCAAGCUAACGACGUAAAAAAAUAGAGCUUGUUGGAAAGCAACCCGAUGUUGUAAGUUUUCUUUCUUCUUUCCCUCUCUUCGUUUGUUUUUUUAUCUUCUUUCCUUGUGUUUUAUGUGAGUUCGAGCAAGUUAAGUUUGGGGGGAUGUGCAAGUGUGGCGUACUUAUCUUUGAGCUUUUUUUUUGCUUUGUUGUCGUUGUUUUAUUUUUUGUCUUGUUUUUUAUGUUGAUUUGUUUGAGUCUCACUUGUCUACUAGUGUAUGAGAUUUUUUCUUGUGGGAUUCAUGAUGACGAGCACGAUAUUGGAGAUUGAUGACAUGACUAGUGAUGAGUUCUGCUUAAAUUUGUGAACGAAUAUGCAUGUGUAAUUUUUACAUGAGAAGUUGAGCAUAAUUUGAUGAAUAAGAGUAUUCAACCUUUAAAGACUUGUGAUCGAAAGAAAUAAGCUGUGAGGAUUUGAGCUUUCACUGUCAUUAUUUUACAGUCUUAUUUCAUGUUCUUGAGUGAUUUAUUU
rnacentral:lncRNA from 1 species